rnacentral:rRNA from 1 species
ACGUAGGGUGCAAGCGUUGUCCGGAAUUAUUGGGCGUAAAGAGCUCGUAGGCGGUUUGUUGCGUCGGCUGUGAAAUCCCGAGGCUCAACCUCGGGUCUGCAGUCGAUACGAGCAAACUAGAGUGUUGCAGGGGAGACUGGAAUUCCUGGUGUAGCGGUGAAAUGCGUAGAUAUCAGGAGGAACACCUGUGGUGUAGACGGCUUUCUGGACCGUAGCUGACGCUGAGACACGAAAGCGUGGGUAGCAAACAGGA